CUUAUGAAGAAAGGAUGAGGGAAUGGCCCUUUGACUCCUUGGCAACCUGUUCAUCAUAAAUAAGGUGCCAAUUCCAGCGGAUGUAUCCGAUAGAUAAG
rnacentral:ncRNA from 1 species